ensembl:lncRNA
CUCACUUACUCCUGGGGUCUGGGUGAGCAUCUGGCCCCGACCUGGUAAAGGGUUGGUUUCGCCCAGCAGUAAGCCCUACACGUGGACAGAGGACGAACACCGGACGAGCGAACAGAGACCACAUGCAACAGAGUCAUUAGCUGUACAACAGGGAAUUAUUACAUUGGAUUUUGGUCAUCUCCGUGAAAAGACUAGAAAACAGAAAGACUGUGGCAAAGAUUAUCUGCCAAAAUUGUGAAUCUCUAGAUAUAAACAAUACCUAGAAGAAAAACAGCACAUCAGUCUUUAUGCUCCUAGGAUUCUAAGCAUCAUUUGUGAGUCUUAUUUUGCAGGUCACUUAACCCUGGGCUUGUCCUUAUUCCCCAGUGAAGUUAAAUAAAUUACAAAGCAAAAUGUUCUGGAGAGUUUUGAAGAAGUCAGCAACAAUGAGGCACCAACAUGAGUUCCUUUGAAUUUGUUUCCCCACUCUAUCUCUCUGUUUAGGAACCAGGGAAUCUGCUAGAUAGACUAGGGCUAGAAAGCAAAAUAAAAUAAAGUUAAAAUAUACAUAAGAAAGUGGAAGUUAGAGUUAGUUAGGAUAAUAAAGCCAAGAUAGAAAACAUGUUCAGCUAUAAAAAGUCAGAAACAAAACAGCAAGUAUAAGCUCAUGGGGAAGUUGCAUCCUAGGAUUGAAGCUAGGUAAGUAGCCUGUUAGUUAUGCUGGAGAAAUUAGGAUGAUCUGUAUUUAAAAUAUAUCCAUAUAUCUAGAAUUUCUGGAACAUGGCAACAAAUUAUGUGAAACAAGAAAUUGAACUUCAAACACUUAUCAUGUUACACAUAAGCAACAAGAUUGCCAUCUUGCCUUUGCUAGUCUCUGGUUUUCUUCUGUUUGUUUGUUUUUGCUGUCUUCAUUAUCCCUUAUUAACUGAGGAUCUUCUGGUGCCAACCACAGAAAUUCAAUAAAUCUGUUAUGCCCACUUACAUGUCUUUAAAUCUCAUUGCUGUAUUAUUUUUGUUUUACUAAUAGAAAAACAAUGAAGAGAAUUAUUUGGGAUUCAUCUGCAGGAGAGGUGAGAAGGUAUUUUUAACAGCUGGUAGCAGACCAGAUCUGGCGCUGUAGAGAAGAAAUGGACUUUUGCAACAGUAUGUCAUUAGUGGAGUAACAGUAACCUGUAUUACCAUGUUGUAAUUCUAGCUCCUAUUUCUUGUUAGUGAGUGAACAACCCAGCAUUUAGUGAACUCUACUUCACAAUAACAAAAAAAGCCAACAUCUAAGGUUCAGAAAACAGUGUCAGUUUGAUUGCUUGUUCACCAUUGGACAGUUAUCUCCAUGGAUAGUUCUCUGAUACCUUCUGCUUAUAAUCCACAGAGUCAGAAGGAUGGUGAGGACAGAAUACAAAACGCAACAAUUUUUUUUAUUUAAAUCAAAUUAGUAGAACUUUUCAGAUGACUAGUAAGCCUUUUCAGUAGGCCACAUACAUGGGAAGAUAGGUACAUAUCACACAAAUUACACGUAUAUCACAGUCUUAAAUCUUGGACAUGGUUACUGAAUAUGUGAUUAUUAGAAUAAAUGUGACAUUUUAAAUACCUGCCCAGUCUCUUGGAAUAUAUAUAAAAAGAUCUGAACAGCUAUUUUCAAGUAUGAGCAAAUGUAUGGGAACUGUUGAGUCGUGGCAUGAACCACUGAUUGAACACCUGGGGAAAGGACCUGAUCAGACCCGGG